AAGGUCAGUUUCAAGAGGACACUGGAUAGAUGACCAAGGUCACGUUUCAAGAGGACACUGGAUGGAUGACCAAGGUCACGUUUCAAGCAGAGAAGUUUAACUUUUUGUUCACAGAAUUAAGUUCAAGGGUCAGGUUUUGAUGUCACAAAUAAAACAGAAGCACAGUCUGCAUAUAGUUACAUCACUGAGUUAGAGACUAGCUGUAGCAAAAUUAGCCCUUUCUUAUGUAUUUGUUUCAUUUGUUUCUUAGAACAUUUUUACGGGAGGUAGAUUGUCGGCUUCUCUAAGUUUCCACAAAUAACGGUAUCAAUCAUGUCUUGAAAUAUGCCCUACUGUGAAGACUUGCUCCUUACUAUUCUUUUUGCCAAUAAUAAUUCUUUUUCCAUUUCAAAUUUUUAUUUAAAUUCCAGUCAGUUAACAUCAGCGCAAUAUUGGUUUCAGGAGUAGAACCCAGUGA